UCUAUGGUGCCUACAACAGCUUCAACUACACCUGUAAACACUACAACAGCAAUGAUUGCAAAUACAAACACAACCACAACGACUCCUACAACCAGCACACCUGUAACAACUACAACACCUGAGCCAGUAACAGGACUAUUGCUGACAUUCACCUCAAAUGAAACAUUCACACAAGACUUGGAGAAUUCUACAUCUACAGCAUUUAUAAAUCGAAGCAGGCUCAUAGAGACAACACUUACACGUUUUUACAACACAGCAUUUAAAACGUUCCGGUCACUGAGAGUGAUUUCAUUCAGACGUGGAUCAAUUAUCAAUGACAUGAGUAUUGGGGUUGCAUCUUCAGCUGUGCCUAAUUUAACUGAGAUUGCAAAUGUUUUGAUCAAUGCAGCCUCAAAUAUAACAGCCUUCAAUGUUACCACAGACUCUGUUGUUGUCCGUGAAAUAGUAGCUUCAACUACAACUGUGAGCACUACAACACCAAUGAUGACUACAGUUACAAACGCAACCACAGCAAAUGUUACAAACAUCACACCUAUAGCAAAUACAUCUAUGGUGCCUACAAUAGCUUCAACUACACCUGUAAACACUACAACACCAAUGAUAACUACCCCUACAAACACAACCACAAUGACUCCUACAACCAGCACACCUGUAACAACUACAACAGCUGAGCCAGUAACACGAGUAUUACUGAUAUUCACCUCAAAUGAAACAUUCACACAAGACUUGGCUAAUUCUACAUCUACAGCAUUUAUAAAUCGAAGCAGGCUCAUUGAG